UUUUUUUUUGUAUUGUUGUGACAAGUUUGUGAGUUUGUGAAGGGUAUGAAACACAGUAACACUGCCACUAAGCCCACCUUCCUCCUACCUGUUUAUCUCCGUACUGCCAUUUUGUCAAAAAAAAAAAUAAUAUUCAGGGC